CAGAAAUUGAUUUUUCACAGUUCUGCAGGCUGGAAAUCCAAGAUGAAGUCACCUGUAGUUCAGUGUCUGCGUCUAAGAGAGCACUUUGUUGCUGCACCCGCCAGAGGGAAGAAAUACUGUAUCUUCUCAUGAAGGAAGGAACCAAAGCUAUAUUAUUUCCCUUAUGUUGGACCAUAAAUCUAAAAUUGUAAUUAAAUGUCCAUCCUCCAAAAAUGGAAAUGCAAGCAUGUACAUGUCUUUAAAGCUUCCAGAGGCUAUCGACAUUCCUUAACUCUUGGUCCCCAUCCUGCAUCAAAGCCAACAAAGUUUUAUCUCUCUGAUCAUUCUUCUAUAGUCACAUCUCUCUUUCUGACCACAGCCAGGAAUGAUUCUCUGCUUUUAAGAACCCAUGCGACUAUAUGCCAAACAGAAUAACCAGGAUAAUUUCAUCUCAAGGUACUUAAUCACAUCUACAAAAUCUCAUUCAACAUGGCAGGUAGCAUAUUCACAUAUUUUGGGGACAACAAUGCAAACAUCUUUUGGGGCCAUCAUUCAGCUUACUACAAUGUGUGAUGUCAGUAAUAGAGCUACAGAUUCAUAGUAGGGUCUUUCUCAAUAAUGAUUUUGUUCAUACUG
rnacentral:lncRNA from 1 species